GACGAACGCUGGCGGCGUGCUUAAUACAUGCAAGUCAACGACUUUUAGAGUAGCAAUAUUCUAAAGGAAGUGGCGCACGGGUGAGUAACACGUAGGUAAUCUGCCUUCAGGACUGACACAACUCGUCGAAAGACGGGCUAAUAUCAGAUAAUGCAGCGGCUCCGCAUGGAGACAGUUGUUAAAGUACAAGCGCCUGAAGAUGAGCCUGCGGUCCAUUAGCUAGUUGGUAGAGUAAAAGCCUACCAAGGCAACGAUGGAUAGCUGGUCUGAGAGGAUGAUCAGCCACACUGGAACUGAGACACGGUCCAGACUCCUACGGGAGGCAGCAGUAAGGAAUAUUGCUCAAUGGCCGAAAGGCUGAAGCAGCAACGCCGCGUGAAGGAUGGAUGGCCUUGGCCUGUAAACUUCUGUAAAAAGGGAAAACAAGUACAGGUAUAUCCUGAUUGAUUGUACCUGGAGAAUAAGCUACCGGCUAACU
rnacentral:rRNA from 1 species